rnacentral:rRNA from 1 species
GUGGGGAAUAUUGGACAAUGGGCGAAAGCCUGAUCCAGCCAUGCCGCGUGUGUGAAGAAGGCCUUCGGGUUGUAAAGCACUUUAAGCGAGGAGGAAGGUUCGUCACCUAAUACGUGACGGAAUUGACGUUACUCGCAGAAUAAGCACCGGCUAACUCUGUGCCAGCAGCCGCGGUAAUACAGAGGGUGCAAGCGUUAAUCGGAAUUACUGGGCGUAAAGCGCGCGUAGGCGGUUGUGUAAGUUGGAUGUGAAAUCGCAGGGCUUAACCUGGGAACUGCAUACAAAACUGCACGGCUGGAGUAUUGGAGAGGAAGGUAGAAUUCCAGGUGUAGCGGUGAAAUGCGUAGAAAUCUGGAGGAAUACCGAUGGCGAAGGCAGCCUUCUGGCCAAAUACUGACGCUGAGGUGCGAAAGCAUGGGGAACAAACAGGAUUAGAUACCCCAGUAGUCC